AGGGUGUGUGAGCCCAGCAGCCGCUGGAGGAGACAGGCAAAGCAAUGCUUCUCGGAGCUCCUCCAGUCUUCCCUGUGACCCCUGACUCCUGCCCUUCCAUAGCCCUUGACCUGCUGGACCGGAUGUUAACCUUUAACCCCAAUAAACGGAUCACAGUGGAGGAAGCGCUGGCUCACCCCUACCUGGAGCAGUACUAUGACCCGACGGAUGAGCCAGUGGCCGAGGAGCCCUUCACCUUCGCCAUGGAGCUGGAUGACCUACCUAAGGAGCGGCUGAAGGAGCUCAUCUUCCAGGAGACAGCACGCUUCCAGCCCGGAGUGCUGGAGGCCCCCUAGCCCAGACAGACAUCUCUGCACCCUGGGGCCUGG
rnacentral:sRNA from 1 species